rnacentral:rRNA from 1 species
CCUACGGGAGGCAGCAGUGAGGAAUAUUGGUCAAUGGGCGGGAGCCUGAACCAGCCAAGUCGCGUGAGGGAUGACGGCCCUACGGGUUGUAAACCUCUUUUGUCGGGGAGCAAAGUGCCGCACGCGUCCGGUCUUGUAUGUACCCUGUGAAAAAGCAUCGGCUAAUUCCGUGCCAGCAGCCGCGGUAAUACGGAAGAUGCGAGCGUUAUCCGGAUUUAUUGGGUUUAAAGGGUGCGUAGGCGGGUCCUUAAGUCAGCGGUAAAAUGGUGCGGCUCAACCUCUGCCCGCCGUUGAAACUGCGGGUCUUGAGUGGGCGAGAAGUACGCGGAAUGCGUGGUGUAGCGGUGAAAUGCAUAGAUAUCACGCAGAACUCCGAUUGCGAAGGCAGCGUACCGGCGCCCGACUGACGCUGAGGCACGAAAGCGUGGGUAUCGAACAGGAUUAGAUACCCGAGUAGUC